AGAGAGAUGGAGGCACCACCACCCCUCAUUCCCACCCUCCUUAGCCCGCACCCCCAAACAGAGGGUGUGAAGUCUGGAAAACAGCUGGCACAUGGGAUUCACUACAGAGCCAUACUCUAUUUGCAAGAAGCAGGACAGUGUGACAUGAAUGAGGACAGGAGUAGAUCUAGAACUGUCUCAGCCUUGAGAGACUGGAAUCACCAGCCAGAACAAUCAACAACACACUUGAAUUUGGGGACCCUACAUAUGGCCCAGGAAAUACUCUAAAGCAGGAGCUUGGGCAGAUGACUCAAAGCAGAGCAAGGAGAAAGGAGAAGAAGACAGGCCACAGCCUUAUGCAUAUCCACAUAAGACGGGAGACCUGGUGUGAAGCCAGUGGGAUACAGGCAGUGGCCCAAGUUUCUGCUCCAGGCUCUGCUACUUCCAAUGCUGUGACUUCAGGAUGUAGCCCAGCCUUCAUGAAGUGACUUGAGUGGUCAAAGCCAGAAGCCAUGUGUUUGCCACCAGUGCUCCAUGUUGGACCAUUCUACUGGAGAAGAGCAUUCUGGAAUCAUCAGCCCAACACACUGCUCUGAGUCCCAAGUCAACCUAGUUCCAAGAGGAAGUAAGACAAUUCAAUGGAAGAAUCCAGGAUGUGAUUUUCCUUAUCCUUCAUGCUUUCACAUUAUAACAUUGAAUGUGCCAACUUUGACCCAAAAGUCUGAGGUUUGACUCCAGAACUUACUUUAUAUAGCAGCUGUUCAUAUCCAAAGUAACCCAGCAAAGGUGCUUCAGAUGCUGUGAAACAUGGAAUAUUUACUAUUUUUAUAGUUAGUCGCCACCCUAUACACUCUAACAGUCAACUCUCCUAGGUUCUAAAAGUGAUUUCCUUUUUCAUAUGGAGAAAGCCAAAUAUCCAAAAAUUCACUAUUUUCAGUGACUCUUUUCCCUUUUCAAAAACUGUUCCAUUUGACCAGCAAAGGAGGGAGUGGAAGCUAGAAGUUGGGUGAGUGUGGCAUCCGUGGUGUGGCUGCCACUCCCCUGGUGCCAUCCUCCCUCUCCAGGGCACAGCUGUUACGAACUCUGCACGAUGAAUCCCAUUACCU